GACGAACGCUGGCGGCGUGCUUAACACAUGCAAGUCGAACGCUGAAGCUUGGCGCUUGCCCUGGGUGGAUGAGUGGCGAACGGGUGAGUAAUACGUGAGUAACCUGCCCUUGACUCUGGGAUAAGCCUGGGAAACUGGGUCUAAUACUGGAUACGACAUGUCACCGCAUGGUGGUGUGUGGAAAGGGUUUUACUGGUUUUGGAUGGGCUCACGGCCUAUCAGCUUGUUGGUGGGGUAAUGGCUCACCAAGGCGACGACGGGUAGCCGGCCUGAGAGGGUGACCGGCCACACUGGGACUGAGACACGGCCCAGACUCCUACGGGAGGCAGCAGUGGGGAAUAUUGCACAAUGGGCGGAAGCCUGAUGCAGCGACGCCGCGUGAGGGAUGACGGCCUUCGGGUUGUAAACCUCUUUCAGCACGGAAGAAGCGAAAGUGACGGUACGUGCAGAAGAAGCGCCGGCUAACUACGUG
rnacentral:rRNA from 1 species